rnacentral:rRNA from 1 species
GACAGAGGGUGCAAACGUUGUUCGGAAUUACUGGGCGUAAAGCGCGUGUAGGCGGCUUUGCAAGUCGGAUGUGAAAUCCCACGGCUCAACCGUGGAAGUGCAUUCGAAACUGCAAGGCUAGAGUCCUGGAGAGGAAGGUGGAAUGCUUGGUGUAGAGGUGAAAUUCGUAGAUAUCAAGCGGAACACCGGUGGCGAAGGCGGCCUUCUGGACAGUGACUGACGCUGAGACGCGAAAGCGUGAGGAGCAAACAGG